rnacentral:rRNA from 1 species
AUUGAACGCUGGCGGCAUGCUUUACACAUGCAAGUCGAACGGUAACAGGCCGCAAGGUGCUGACGAGUGGCGAACGGGUGAGUAAUGCAUCGGAACGUGCCCAGUCGUGGGGGAUAACUGCUCGAAAGAGCAGCUAAUACCGCAUACGAUCUAUGGAUGAAAGCGGGGGACCGUAAGGCCUCGCGCGAUUGGAGCGGCCGAUGUCAGAUUAGGUAGUUGGUGGGGUAAAGGCUCACCAAGUCAACGAUCUGUAGCUGGUCUGAGAGGACGACCAGCAACACGGGGACUGAGACACGGCGCAGACUCCUACGGGAGGCAGCAGUGGGGGAUUUUGGACAAUGGGGGCAACCCUGAUCCAGCAAUGCCGCGUGCAGGAAGAAGGCCUUCGGGUUGUAAACUGCUUUUGUACGGAACGAAACGGUCUGGGUUAAUACCCUGGGCUAAUGACGGUACCGUAAGAAUAAGCACCGGCUAACUACGUGCCAGCCGCCGCAGUAAAAC